UUUGGGUUGUUAACUUAGGUUUGGGUGGCGGACGGGUGAGUAACGCGUAAAGAACUUGCCUCACAGGUAGGGACAACAUUUGGAAACGAAUGCUAAUACCUAAUAUUAUGAUAAUAGGGCAUCCUAUAAUUAUGAAAGCUAUAAGCGCUGUGAGAGAGCUUUGCGUCCCAUUAGCUAGUUGGAGAGGUAACGGCUCACCAAGGCGAUGAUGGGUAGCCGGCCUGAGAGGGUGAUCGGCCACAAGGGGACUGAGACACGGCCCUUACUCCUACGGGAGGCAGCAGUGGGGAAUAUUGGACAAUGGACCAAGAGUCUGAUCCAGCAAUUCUGUGUGCACGAUGAAGUUUUUCGGAAUGUAAAGUGCUUUCAGUUGGGAAGAAAGAAAUGACGGUACCAACAGAAGA
rnacentral:rRNA from 1 species